UACGGGGGGAGCAAGCGUUGUUCGGAUUUAUUGGGCGUAAAGAGCUCGUAGGCGGCUUGGCAAGUCGGGUGUGAAAACUUCAGGCUCAACCUGGAGAUGCCACUCGAUACUGCUAUGGCUAGAGUCCGGGUAGGGGACCACGGAAUUCCUGGUGUAGCGGUGAAAUGCGCAGAUAUCAGGAGGAACACCAGCGGCGAAGGCGGCGCUCUGGGGCCGGUACUGACACUGAGGAGCGGAAAGCGUGGGUAGCAAACAGG
rnacentral:rRNA from 1 species